rnacentral:lncRNA from 1 species
UGCCUCUUAUAUCAGAAUAUUAGACUUUAUGGGAUAAUAGAACUUACAUAGAAAAAAGUCAGUGAUGCCAUCCGCGAUCUUUGGAAUCAAUAUGCCUACAAUUAUAAGAAGAAAUCAAAUUGGAUGCUCUCCUAGCUAUCCAUGAGUAGCGUCUUGGUUUACAAAUCUCAACUCCAAGUAUUCCCAACGAAGAGGACUUCAAAAGCUCUCUCGGAUGACUUAAGGAU